rnacentral:piRNA from 1 species
UGAAGACCUUUCAAAACUCCCAAUAC